GACGAACGCUGGCGGCGUGCUUAACACAUGCAAGUCGAACGGUGAAGCGCCUUCCUUUUUGGUGGGUGUGGAUGAGUGGCGAACGGGUGAGUAACACGUGAGUAACCUGCCCCCUUCUUCUGGAUAACCGCAUGAAAGUGUGUCUAAUACGGGAUAUUCUGGGUCUGUCGCAUGAUGGGUCUGGGAAAGAUAUUGUUUCGGUGGGGGAUGGGCUCGCGGCCUAUCAGCUUGUUGGUGGGGUGAUGGCCUACCAAGGCGGUGACGGGUAGCCGGCCUGAGAGGGUGGACGGUCACACUGGGACUGAGACACGGCCCAGACUCAUACGGGAGGCAGCAGUGGGGAAUAUUGCACAAUGGGCGCAAGCCUGAUGCAGCGACGCCGCGUGAGGGAUGGAGGCCUUCGGGUUGUGAACCUCUUUCGCCAGUGAAGCAGGCCUGCCUCGUUUGUGGGUGGGUUGACGGUAGCUGGAUAAGAAGCGCCGGCUAACUACGUG
rnacentral:rRNA from 1 species